rnacentral:rRNA from 1 species
UAAUACGAAGGGGGCUAGCGUUGUUCGGAAUUACUGGGCGUAAAGGGCGCGUAGGCGGACGCGCAAGUCAGGGGUGAAAUCCCGGGGCUCAACCUCGGAAUUGCCUUUGAGACUGCGUAUCUUGAGGACGGGAGAGGGUCGUGGAAUUCCCAGUGUAGAGGUGAAAUUCGUAGAUAUUGGGAAGAACACCGGUGGCGAAGGCGGCGACCUGGACCGUAUCUGACGCUGAGGCGCGAAAGCGUGGGGAGCAAACAGGAUUAGAUACCCUGGUAGUCCACGCUGUAAACGAUGUCGGCUAGACGCUGGGCAGCAAGCUGUUCGGUGUCGGCGCUAACGCAUUAAGCCGACCGCCUGGGGAGUACGGCCGCAAGGUUA